GUGGGUAUGGCGGAAUAGGUAUACGCGCAUGUUUGAGGGGCAUGUGAGAAUUAUUUUCUCUUAUGAGUUCAAAUCUCAUUACCCACA
rfam:Candidatus Phytoplasma oryzae Pmin.contig.4_1, whole genome shotgun sequence.